ACGCUCGACACCUACGGGAGCAGCAGUGGGGAAUAUUGCACAAUGGAGGAAACUCUGAUGCAGCGACGCCGCGUGAGGGAAGAAGGUCUUCGGAUUGUAAACCUCUGUUGUCAGGGACGAUGAUGACGGUACCUGACGAGGAAGCCACGGCUAACUACGUGCCAGCAGCCGGGGUAAUCUGAGCGGGCUGGCAAGGC
rnacentral:rRNA from 1 species